rnacentral:rRNA from 1 species
UACGGGGGGGGCAAGCGUUGUUCGGAAUUACUGGGCGUAAAGGGCUCGUAGGCGGCCAACUAAGUCAUACGUGAAAUCCCUCGGCUUAACCGGGGAACUGCGUCUGAUACUGGAUGGCUUGAGUUCGGGAGAGGGAUGCGGAAUUCCAGGUGUAGCGGUGAAAUGCGUAGAUAUCUGGAGGAACACCAGUGGCGAAAGCGGCUUCCUGGUCCAGCACCGACGUUCAGGCACGAAAGCGUGGGGAGCAGACAGG